GUUUGUCAUCCCAGGGGCUGCCUAGUGGGCAGGGAAGUCUUCCACUCUGUGACCCCGGUCUUCCUCACACAGGAGCCUCCAGCGGUCCUGCUGGGGUCUCAGUCUUCAGCCCGACGUCCUGGAGGCGCCAAAGCACAGGGGCUCAAAAUGAUUAACAUGCAAACGGUGAGAUGUUCGGCUUGAGUCUACGCGCGGGCGAAGAUGCCUCUGUCGCCCCAAACAGUGUCCUUCGCGACGGCGGAAAACUACAGCCCGCCCCCGCUCCCGUGCCUGCUCAGGAAGCCGUGACAAAGCCAGUGCCCGCCGGUGCCCAGAAUGAAGGUGGAAAAAGCCGAGCGCUCCUGCUCGGGGGCGGGGUUGAGAGGGGGAGAUUAAUCCGGGCAAGCCAAGGGGACCUUAGACUUGCAACCAGGGCCGCCACCCGAGGAGCCCGCAUGCAGGGACGCUCCUGAAGGCUUAGGCAAACCCAGGGAAAUGCCCUCCCCUGCCUGCAGAAUCCCCACGCCGUCUCUUACUUCCUCCCUCUUUGCCACUGCCGAGCUUACACGUGCACACACACACACACCCCUCUCUGUGACCGCAACAAACUUUGUGAAACUUGAACUGCUGGGUGCAAACUUCACGCCCUUUUCUCCUUUCCUCUCUUGCCUGGGCCGGCUCCUCCUGGAGCAGGGAGGGAAGAGGUUCUUGGCCUCCAGACCUGGGAGAGGAGUUUCGGAAAGUCAGGGCCCGCCUCGCUGUGACAUUAGACCCUUGCCACCCCACCAGACCGACGGACACUAAACACAUUCCUUGCCGGAAGGAGCUAGUAGUUGCAGCGGCCAGGCUUGGCAGGUCCCUGGCCAACCACCCCGCCACUGCCCUGGCCGGACUUUCCCAGGGCGUUGGUCUCCUGGUUCCUAUUAAGUCGGGGCUGUCCUGGGCUUGGAGCCCAGGUUCAGGGCUGUCAGCCCCUUGCCAGCUGUCUGAGCUCUCUGCCUUUCUAGUUUAUUUUCCCCCAGUUCUCGCCCUGGGUUAGCUCUCUCCCAGCCCUCCACCUGUCUCCGUCUCUGACUCCAUCUCUGGCUCCAUCUCUGGCAGGGCUGCCACUGUCUCUCUGUCUCUCCCUGUCUCUCUGUCUCUCUUGUUUGUUUCAGCGCGCGGACACUGAUUGCGCCUUAUGAAGUUCUAACUGGUUUUGUGUCAGGAAGAUCUUUCUCGCUGCUACCCAGCCUGGCGUGACGGAUUAAACAUCAACUAGUUAAAUAAAAAUUAAUAUCAACUGCCUCCUAA